rnacentral:tRNA from 1 species
GCAGGGUUGCCCUAGCCUGGUAGGGGGCAGGCCUGCUAAGCCUGUGGCCGGUUUCGGCCGCGCG